GAUGGAGUGAGUUCUGGAUAAGUGACAGCUGAGUAUAACGAUAAACAUCGUCGUACAGUUUAGCUUCCCUUUGAAACAAAAAUUUUAAGUAUGUGUAAUGGUGCUUAUUUAUCGAGGAAAAGGGUGAAUCUAUAAUAAAGAAUGGAUCGUUGGAAUGUAGAAAGUAGUCGAUACUUGAAAGUGAAAACAGAUGUUGAAAAAAUUAGUCGAUGUUUAAAUGUUUAAAAAUAAUAAUAAUAAUACUAAUACUAAUUUUAAUUCUUGUAUUUUGCUAGUUAAACUAGAAAACUGCCAACGAAAUACAAGCAUACAUACAUAUCUAUAUCUAUAUCUAUAUAUAGAUAUAGCUAUGUUCCUUUCCAGACACCAGUAGACUCGGUCUAUAUCGCCAGCAUUUCUUAGACUAGGAUUAGAAUGGGAUAAAAAUAUGAAAAAGGGAAUGCUGAGGAAGGAUGAAUAAGAGUCGUUAUAUGUUUUUCUUUACUGUUUACUUUUUCUUUUUUUCUUCUUCUUUUCUAGCUCGCCUUUGGCCCAAAUUAAGCUCAUUAACCUGAUGCUGUCAGAUAUGACUUGACACUCUCUGUGAUACUACAUAUGCAGACAAUUUCUGGACGAAACAUUAAAUUUUCCGAUCUUCAAUCAACGUUCCGAAAUGGUCUACAGAAAGAGUAACAACAAAUUGUAUGUAGCGUUGGAUAUGAAAAUGCACUGCGUGGCAUAGCAUACAAUACUCUUACAAAUGCGCUUGGCAAAGACGAUUCAAUUUAAGAUUGCUGUUAUGCUUACAGUAUAAACCAAAGCAGCAAGAAUGGAAUCCCCGUCCCGUAAAUUUUUUUUUCUUGGUAAUACGUUAAAAGUAUAACUUGGCAGACAUGUCGAAACCGAUCAUUUGUAAAUCAGCUUCUCUUAACUAUCUCUAGUGGAUGCAAUAGUAUGUUAAACUAACAAACACGAGUACAUUUGAAAGACUCAUAAACCAAAUUCGAUGAUGAUCCUUUUGUUGAUAAACCGUUUUAUGGUGGAUCUUUGGCGUAUCCUAUCCCUUACUCUUCUUUCAGAUAUGAAACAAAGUAAAUAAUAGCCGAGGCAACCAUCUAUAAAUCAUCAUUGUUUAGCUGCUUCCCCCCCCUAACAUGGGACGUAAGACAAUGAAAGUUUAAUUUGCUUUUAAUUUUCGUUUUGAAAAAAGUUUGUUAGAUAUGGUUCGCUUCCAACCUUCCUACUUUAAUAAACAAGUCGGAACUCCAGCUAGCAUAAAAUCUGUGGGAGAACUCUCAAAAUGCUUUGAAGAGUGACUGUAUCGAUUGAUUGAUUGAUUGAUGGGGUGAACUAGGUAGCUGUAUGAACUGAACCAUCCCUACUAUUAAGAGGUAUGAAAACGUACGCAUGUUAAGAGAAGCUCUAACUACAUUACCAUACUGUUAUGUACUACUCUUCUCCAAGCCAGAUCAUAGAACUUUCUAAAGAGCAUAGAUUUCAUUUAAUUUAUUUAUCAAGCUUUCUAACUACGUUCUUCGUGAACUUUUUUAUUACUGGGCCAUUUUAAAAAAAAAGAACUUCAUUACUAAACCAAACAAAAAAAAUACCAUAUAUGAUUUAUUUCUUCUCGUUCUUAUACUAUGUCUUAUACCAGGGAAACCAGUUAUUAUUUACUGCUUAACAAAUGCUAUUAGGGUUCAACGUUCUCGUUAGUAGAAACAUGAAAAAAAAAAUUUCGAUGCUGAUGCUGAUGCAAACAAACUGGGCAUAACUUUUAUUUAAUAGAAAAAUAAAUAAAUUAGUUCAUUGCCUCUUAUUGUUGGUUGGACCACAUGGCCUGACAAGCCUUUAGCUGUUCCAAAUAGUAAGAACAUUGACUGAACUCAUGCUCAUUUAUACAAUCUGCAAACAUUUUAGCAUCGCCCUUGCAAGCAUUCUUCGCCUCUUCAGAAAUAGCACUGCUGGCAAAGGUGGAUGGAGGUGCUGAACCAUAAGCGGCUUCUGGAACACUGUUGCUGUAACUAGAUUGAGGUACACUAGUAUCAGCUGGAGCAUUGUUGGAACCACUUCCAGAAAAACCGCCUGUUAUGACGCUGCCAACCGUGUGUCCGAUAGCACUUCCAAUACCAACACCAGCCGCUGUACUAACCAGAUUGCCGAAGAAUCCAGGUGAGCUGCCUCCUUGGACGGCGGUGGGAGGAGGAGCCUGUUGCACACGACUAGGAGCAGGAGGAGGUGCCAUUGUCCUAGGAGGUAAAGCAGCAGCAGUGGAAGCACUUCUGGCAGGAGCUGCACGGCGAGGAGGAGGUGCGGCAGAACGUCUACGAGGCAUCGUACUUAUUUAUGUGAAGAGAUGGAAAUGGGCAAAGGAAGUAAGAGAUAAACAAAAAAGGAUUAAAUUUUAUGAAAACUCGUUUACGAUAUCUGCAAAGGAAUACCGUCAAUGAAAGGAUAAACGAUAUACGAGUGUUUAAGAGGCAGAUGGCGGAGAGCACGAAUAUAUAUAGCGUUGCUAGAAGAAGCUGAAGAAAAUCGAUGAAUGGAGAGAAUCGUUCCGACCAAACAUCGUCUUCGCUAUAGCGGAUUGGAAGACAUGAGGUACAACUUGGAUAUUUGCACCACUCAAGUCGUAUAGACCAGAUGCCCUUGGGGUAACAGUUACCUAACAAUCCAAGCUGGUUUACUAAUACAAAUGGAUGCACAAGUUUUCAAUAAAGAAAGAAAAUUGCAACUUCCAUCACUUUCAAAACUUUUAUUUAUGAUUUUAUCUAUCAUUCUCAAUAAUCGUAAAUUUUGGACAC